rnacentral:rRNA from 1 species
CAGGCCUAACACAUGCAAGUCGAACGGCAGCACGGAGCUUGCUCUGGUGGCGAGUGGCGAACGGGUGAGUAAUAUAUCGGAACGUACCCUGGAGUGGGGGAUAACGUAGCGAAAGUUACGCUAAUACCGCAUACGAUCUAAGGAUGAAAGUGGGGGAUCGCAAGACCUCAUGCUCGUGGAGCGGCCGAUAUCUGAUUAGCUAGUUGGUAGGGUAAAAGCCUGCCAAGGCAUCGAUCAGUAGCUGGUCUGAGAGGACGACCAGCCACACUGGAACUGAGACACGGUCCAGACUCCUACGGGAGGCAGCAGUGGGGAAUUUUGGACAAUGGGCGCAAGCCUGAUCCAGCAAUGCCGCGUGAGUGAAGAAGGCCUUCGGGUUGUAAAGCUCUUUUGUCAGGGAAGAAACGGUGGGAGCUAAUAUCUCCUGCUAAUGACGGUACCUGAAGAAUAAGCACCGGCUAACUACGUGCCAGCAGCCGCGGUAAU